UACGUAGGGUGCAAGCGUUGUCCGGAAUUAUUGGGCGUAAAGAGCUCGUAGGCGGUUUGUCACGUCUGCUGUGAAAACUCGGGGCUUAACUCCGGGCCUGCAGUGGGUACGGGCAGACUAGAGUGCGGUAGGGGAGACUGGAAUUCCUGGUGUAGCGGUGAAAUGCGCAGAUAUCAGGAGGAACACCGGUGGCGAAGGCGGGUCUCUGGGCCGUAACUGACGCUGAGGAGCGAAAAGCGUGGGGGAGCAAACAGG
rnacentral:rRNA from 1 species